rnacentral:rRNA from 1 species
CUGCUCAGUAACACGUGGACAACCUACCCUUUGGGUCCGGCAUAAUCCUGGGAAACUGGGAAUAAUUCCGGAUAGGUCACCGAUGCUGGAAUGCGCGGUGGCCGAAAGCUCCGGCGCCCGAGGAUGGGUCUGCGGCCUAUCAGGGUUGUAGUGGGUGUAACGUACCUACUAGCCUACGACGGGUACGGGUUGUGAGAGCAAGAGCCCGGAGAUGGAUUCUGAGACACGAAUCCAGGCCCUACGGGGUGCAGCAGGCGCGAAAACUUUACAAUGCGGGAAACCGUGAUAAGGGGAUCUCGAGUGCCAGCAUAUAAUGUUGGCUGUCCAGAUGCCUAAAAAGCAUCUGUUAGCAAGGGCCGGGCAAGACCGGUGCCAGCCGCCGCGGUAACACCGGCGGCCCGAGUGGUAACCGCUAUUAUUGGGUCUAAAGGGUCUGUAGCCGGCCAGGUAAGUCCCUUGGGAAAUCUGGCAGCUCAACUGUCAGGCUGCUAGGGGAUACUGUUUGGCUUGGGACCGGGAGAGGUGAGAGGUACCUUGGGGGUAGGGGUGAAAUCUUGUGAUCCCCGAGGGACGACCGAUGGCGAAGGCAUCUUACCAGAACGGCUUCGACAGUGAGGGACGAAAGCUGGGGGAGCAAAC